GGAGGAAUAUUGGUCAAUGGGCGCGAGCCUGAACCAGCCAAGUAGCGUGCAGGAUGACGGCCCUAUGGGUUGUAAACUGCUUUUAUGCGGGGAUAAAGUGAGGGACGCGUCCCUUUUUGCAGGUACCGCAUGAAUAAGGACCGGCUAAUUCCGUGCCAGCAGCCGCGGUAAUACGGGAGGUCCGGGCGUUAUCCGGAUUUAUUGGGUUUAAAGGGAGCGUAGGCCGGCUUUUAAGCGUGUUGUGAAAUGCCGCGGCUCAACCGUGGCACUGCAGCGCGAACUGGAGGCCUUGAGUGCGCGGGAGGUAGGCGGAAUUCGUGGUGUAGCGGUGAAAUGCUUAGA
rnacentral:rRNA from 1 species